AUGACAUGGCUAUAUUUUGUGUAAUGUCAAUUUCAUCAUGGAUAACUUUUUCUACAAUUAGAGAUUCAUUACAGGAUGCUAAUAAGUUUGGAAAAUUAUUGCAAUUCAAAAAGCUAUCAAUGUAUCAAUUUAAGUUGCAGUAUACAAACAAUAUUAGGUCAAUGUCAGAAAAAUAUCAACUGUUUUGUAUUUGGCACAAAAGUGAGAUAAGACUCGAUAGAACCCCUCGCACUUUCCAGUUUCUCACCUUCAUACAAAGAAAUUUAUAUUUUUUUUUUACAUUUACCUAAUAUUGUACAUGUAUUAAACCAAUAUGUAUCAAUACUACAAAAAUAUUCUGGAAGAGAAGUAUCUAUGCUAAAAACUGUC
rnacentral:lncRNA from 1 species